rnacentral:tRNA from 1 species
AAUGAUGUGCCUGAAUAAAGGAUUACUGUGAUAGAGUAAAUAAUGUAAGAUUUACCUUCAUUA